ACGGCAGCACAGAGGCCCAAAAAGGAGGCUAACGUCGACCUCUAAAACAACCGUCUAUAAGGCGGAAACAGUCGCCGAAAACCACCCGCGGGGUCUUCUGCCGCCUCGGAGGGAGCAAGUCGAUCGACAGAGAGGAGCGCAAAGAUGCUCUGGAUAAUGAGGUGGACAACCAAGAUGGCUCCAUACAGCCCAAACGAUAGGUGGUUGCCGGCUGUGGUGAAGAACUGGUAGCCCAUGAUGUAGGCUGUGGAGAUGCCCACCAGGAGGGACAGGCCGAACAUGGUGGUCCCGAAUACCCGCAGCCCUCAUUAUGUUGCUGCCGCCAUCUGUUUGGCAGACCAACGGAGACCCACUCAGCGUGGCUCAGCUCGGCUCAACAGAGAGCGGACCGCCCUGUGAUGUCAUCUGUUUAUAUCUCCGUGGGAAGAAGAAGACAAGAGCUUCUUAGAUUUUCUAAUGCUGCACGUGUGCUUCUUCCCCUCUGAGACUCCCAAAGACAGUAUGACAAGAAGGUUUUUGUGAUUUACCUAAGAGAAUGGUGUGCAGCGAAGAGAAGGAAUAUAUGACAUUACAAUGCUCUGCACAUUAUGGAGAACAUGCUUUUUCCAUAGCAUAGAUGAGAAAGGUCAUAGUAUGCUUUUCUGGUCCGUGAGGCUCCGCCUUGUGGUACAUCAUUUUACAUGUUACGCUGCAUUUGAGAGAUUUCUAAACUGUUUUUGGUGCAACUGCAUUGAUUUGAUGUACAAUUGGGAAGAAAAACAUUUCCCAACAUCCUAUAUCAUUACAUGGGAGUUUCACAAAUGUGUAAGUUUUAAGUUUUAAGAAAAACAUGUAAAUCCGGACAGGCGGUAAAGUUAAAAGAAAAGCACAAGAAGCCAAGCGCAACAGUGAGACAAGACAAGACGACGGAUCUCUGAGUGUCGGAGAGAAAAAAAACGAGAGACACUGAGCCACAGUGAAGAAGCAGAGAGAGGCUGAGGGAAUAGAGGAACACACGCACACAAUACACACACACAAUACACACACCCCUUGGCUCAGACAUAAUGCCUUGUUCAUUCGUUCAUUGGAGGAGAAGGCCACAGCCAGUGUAGCAGGCCUCCUCUGGCACGUGGCAAAGCUCUUAACAUCAGCCGCUCAUUUACAAGACCCCUGACGUACACACACAAACACAGGCACUAUACACACACACUCACACUCACACACAUACACACACAUUCACAUACGCAAAUGCACGUACUAUAAAAAAUGUAUUACACUCGUGCAAACUGUGUGUUCGGAUGUCCAUAAAAAUACACAUUUUUUUAUUUUGUAAAGAUGAGAUCGCAUUCCAUCUUCACCUGACACCUUCUGUUUGUGUGUGGAUACAAAUGUUUUAUUAAUAGAUAUGGCAGUGCAGAAUAAACCUUUUCACACUGUCUCCCUACAUCAGCUUUGAAUGAAGUAAUAGUUUUUGAGUGAAAUGUGAAUGUCUUCUUGUCAAAAUCCUUCGUAUUAGGACAGAAGACAAACGAAUCCACGAUGUGGUAAAUCAUAGCUGUGAGACAUAGCUGUCUGAAUGACACUGAACAAGUCUACUCUCUGAAUUUUCAGUUUGCAACACACUUUUUGGACUGUGGGUGGAAAACUGGGACGAAACCGCCACAGACACAUGCAGAUCCGGCAAACUCCACACAGCGUUUGCUGCUUUUUGAA